CGGCGGCGGACGGGUGAGUAAUGCCUAGGAAUCUGCCUGGUAGUGGGGGACAACGUUUCGAAAGGAACGCUAAUACCGCAUACGUCCUACGGGAGAAAGCAGGGACCUUCGGGCCUUGCGCUAUCAGAUGAGCCUAGGUCGGAUUAGCUAGUUGGUGAGGUAAUGGCUCACCAAGGCGACGAUCCGUAACUGGUCUGAGAGGAUGAUCAGUCACACUGGAACUGAGACACGGUCCAGACUCCUACGGGAGGCAGCAGGG
rnacentral:rRNA from 1 species